CCCCACCCCCCACCCCAGUUGCCUUUGAAUCGGAUUUGUCAUUUGUGACAUUGCCCCACGAGUAUCGGGGAUGCCUGAAUCGUGUGGUGCGAGGAAUGCGGCUCAGGCUAACUAAUGGUCCCCUGAGGCCUACGAGGAAUGUGGCUUGGGUUGGUUUUGUGUUCCCGAGGCCUAUGAGGAAUGCGGCUCGGAUUGAUUUUGUGUUACUGAGGCAUGCGAGGAUGUGUCAUAUAAGGUGGCACAAGGAAUUGACGGAAUAUGGAUGGGGAUCAGGUCGACUAAACGUCCCCGGAGUCCUGCGAGGAUUGCGGCUUGGGUCAACUCUGUGUUACCGAGACUUGCGAGGACAUGUCACAAACUAUGACACGAGGAAUUGACGUAUAAUGAUAGGCACACCUAGGUUGAAGAGAAAUCUUUUUUUGGCAGUGUUUU